rnacentral:rRNA from 1 species
GGUUUGAUCAUGGCUCAGAUUGAACGCUGGCGGGAUGCUUUACACAUGCAAGUCGAACGGCAGCACGGACUUCGGUCUGGUGGCGAGUGGCGAACAGGUGAGUAAUGUAUCGGAACGUGCCUAGUAGCGGGGGAUAACUGCGCGAAAGCGUAGCCAGCCGCAUACGCCCUUCCGGGAAAAGCGGGGACCUUCGGGCCUCACUAUUAGAGCAGCCGAUAUCGGAUUAGCUAGUUGGUGGGGCCAACGGCUCGCAAGGCGACGAUCCGUAGCUGGUUUGAAGGCGACCAGCCACACUGGGACUGAGACACGGCCCAGACUCCUGCGGAACAGCAGUGGGGAAUUUUUGGACAAUGGGGGAAACCCUGAUCCAGCCAUCCGCGUGUGCGAUGAAGGCCUUCGGGUUGUAAAGCACUUUUGGCAGGAAAGAAACGGCACGGGAUGACACCCGUGCAACUGACGGUACCUGCAGAGAUAAGCACCGGCUAACUACGUGCCAGCAGCCGCGGUAAUACGUAGGGUGCAAGCGUUAAUCGGAAUUACUGGGCGUAAAACAUGCGCAGGCGGUUCAGAAGAAAGAUGUGAAAUCCCCAGAACUUAACGCAAUUUCAUUUUUAACUACAGAGCUGGUGUCAGAGGAGAGUGGAAUUCCGCGUGUAGCAGUGAAAUGCGUAGAUAUGCGGAGAACACCGAUGGCGUGGCUUUCCUGGAAUGUUACUGACGCUCAUGCGAAAGCGAUGAGGAGCAAACAGGAUUAGUACCCUAGUGAGUCCACGCCUAAACGAUGUCAACUAGCACAUUUGUGAGCCUUCAGGCCUUGAAGUAUAGCUGGCUAACGUGAAUGACCGCCGAAGUACGGUCGCAAGAUUAAAACUCAAAGGAAUUGACGGGGACCCGCACAAGCGGUGGAUGAUGGAUUAAUUCGAUGCAGCAUGAAAAACCUUACCCUACCUUAUUAUGUCUGGAAUCGAAGAGAUUUGGGAGUACUCGCAAAGAACCGGAACACAGGUGCUGCAUAGUAAUAGUCGGCUCGUGUCGUGAGAUGUUGGGUCAAGUCCACAACGACUUAAGCCCUUGUGUUAGUUGCUACGAAAAGGCACUCUAAUGAGACUGCCGGUGACAAACCGGAGGAAGGUGGGGAUGACGUCAAGUCCUCAGGGCCCUUAUGGGUAGACUACACGUCAUACGAAUGGUCGGGACAGAGGGUCGCCAACCCCACGAGGAGACCAAUCCCAGAAACCCGAUCGUGAUCCGGAUCGCAGUCUGCAACUCGACUGCGUCAGUCGAAUACGCCAGUAAUCGCCGGAUCAGCAUGUGCCGGUGAAUACUGUUCCCGGGUCUUGUACCCUUACGUCACACCAUGGGGGAGUAGGUUUAUAGAAGUAGUUAUUCAUGUAAGGGCGAUUACCACGGUAAGGAUUCGCGAGCGGGUGAUGUAAUAACAAGGUAA